rnacentral:rRNA from 1 species
GACGAACGCUGGCGGCGUGCCUAAUACAUGCAAGUUGAGCGCUGAAGGUUGGUACUUGUACCAACUGGAUGAGCAGCGAACGGGUGAGUAACGCGUGGGGAAUCUGCCUUUGAGCGGGGGACAACAUUUGGAAACGAAUGCUAAUACCGCAUAAAAACUUUAAACACAAGUUUUAAGUUUGAAAGAUGCAAUUGCAUCACUCAAAGAUGAUCCCGCGUUGUAUUAGCUAGUUGGUGAGGUAAAGGCUCACCAAAGCGAUGAUACAUAGCCGACCUGAGAGGGUGAUCGGCCACAUUGGGACUGAGACACGGCCCAAACUCCUACGGGAGGCAGCAGUAGGGAAUCUUCGGCAAUGGACGAAAGUCUGACCGAGCAACGCCGCGUGAGUGAAGAAGGUUUUCGGAUCGUAAAACUCUGUUGGUAGAGAAGAACGUUGGUGAGAGUGGAAAGCUCAUAAAGUGACGGUAACUACCCAGAAAGGGACGGCUAACUACGUG